GACGAACGCUGGCGGCGUGCUUAACACAUGCCAGUCGAACGGAAAGGCCUGCUUUCCCUUGUGGAUUGCGGGUACUCGAGUGGCGAACGGGUGAGUAACACGUGAGUGAUCUGCCCCCAACUUGGGUAUAAGCCUGGGAAACUGGGUCUAAUUCCCGAUAGGACUGCAGGGUGGUGCCUGUGGUGGAAAACGAUUUUCUAGUGGUUGGGGAUGAGCUCGCGGCCUAUCAGCUUGUUGGUGGGGUAAUGGCCUACCAAGGCGGCGACGGGUAGCCGGCCUGGGAGGGGGGACGGCGAGAUUGGGACUGGGAUACGGCCCAGACGCCUACGGGAGGCAGCAGUGGGGAAUAUUGGACAGUGGGCGGAAGCCUGAUGCAGCGACGCCGCGUGGGGGGUGACGGCCUUCGGGUUGUAAACUCCUUUCGACCGCGAGGAAGCCACCUGGUUGGAAGGGUGGUGACGGUAGUGGUAGAAGAAGCACCGGCUAACUACGUG
rnacentral:rRNA from 1 species